GAGCGAGACUCCGUCUCAAAAAAAAAAAGCAAAAAAACAGUAGCUUAUGUACAUCGCAAGCACCUCUCAUCACAAUCCAGUUCCAAGGAAAAAUUCCAGCGUUUUCUACAUUGGCUGCUGCCUCGUCUGAAAUCAGUACAUUACAUGGAGGAAGGAGUUCUGCUUUGCUGCAUCUCUUAUUCUAGGGUUUAAUGUUGGUAAUUGAGUAACUCUAGCAUUUGUACAAGGCUCCCUAAGACUCCUGCAGCAGUGGACAAGCCCAGGGACAUAAUUGAAUCUGGUGAUUCCUGGGGCCUUGUGAGAAAGACUUGAAAUACACAGAGGAGGAAAGGUACAAAAAUAAAUGUUUACUUGUC